AUGGUUUCAUUUGGUUGGAACAAAUCAUAAUGUAGCGCAAAUGGGAUCGCCAUGAAUAUAUUUUACUCUUUUUUUUUUAAUUAGAUAGAAGUGAGGAAAGAGGAACGACAGAUAGUAACUUGGUGGCCGCAGUGUAAUGAGUGCUCUGGGUGGGCGACUUGGGUCCUCUCUAUAGCUACGAUUUAAUUUAAGUCUACUGACUUUGAAUAUCGUAACGCAUUGUCUAACUAUUCAACAGCACUGUGCUUCGAACUAAUCAGAAAGAGUAAAGUUUUCCGCGUAUGAUAUUCUUUAUCGCACAAAACUGGCGAUCUUUCUUGUUGCAGAAAAUAUUUUUGCAAUGAGAUGAUUGUUAGCAGAUGGAGCUGUCCAAGCUUUUAAAAAAAAAGUAGAUGACUUCAAAAAUGUAUGCUCAAACUAUAUGCUAUUACCGCUAUCCAUAUGCGAAACCCGGAAAUUGAAUUGCGCAACUAAUAGCAUCCUAUAGUACCCGGUACGCUAUCUUUUGAAAUGAAACCACAGAGAGAAUUUCAUUAACGUCUCAAUCAGAUAGAUAUAGGAAGUCUUUGCAAACUUAUAAUAGAUUGUUCGCGCUGCCUGCCGUAACGUACGCAUCAGAGUUCUGCUGAAAGUACACCAAAUAUGGUUUAAAUUGCAUUGAAAAAAUUUAAGAACGCUUAAGCGACUUGAAUGUCGUAAGCAUUCUAGAACGUAAAGUUACAGCAGUCAGCAAUGCGGGCUAUGUUGGAUGUAACGUGCGUUCAACUUAAAACCUUUAUCGCGUCUAAGCCAUAAUGUCUUGCACUUAAUAGAAAAUACAUGGGAAAGAAAGAUUACAUAAGAUAUGGUUAUAUAAUCGACUUAAGGAAUUACGUUCUGGGUUCAACUUUUAUUUUAUUAUUAAUCGCCGAGUAAUUUUGGCAAAGAGACAGACACAUCAACCGAUAUAAAAUCGAUUGGGGGAAAAGAAUGCCCUACAACGAAUUCUGACUAAUCUCUUAUUGACAUCUUAGACCAAACGAUAACAAUUACAAAGCAUUUUUUUUUUUAAUGGCAAUUGUGUCAAUUCGACAUCGAUAUGAUCGGUUCGCUACCAGACUCUUACGCGAAAAAUUUUGAAAGCUGCUUUCAUGAUUACAUGACACAUCAAUUGAAUUAUUAUAGAUUUUACGUAUAUGAGGCAUAAAUGUGACGCUGCGCUGUGUGUAAGAAAGGGCUGCGUUACAGACAUGUGACGUCCGUUAGGAUGACUCUGAAGAAUGUAUGUUUUAACGAAAGUUUAAAUCGACAUCAGUUAAAUGCUGCAAAUUCACAUCAACAUAUGUUUUGUAGAAGUGUUGUUGAUCAACAUUCAAUUUUUGCAAAAUUGUAUUAAUAUAACUCCCACGUGUCUGGAUCUAGUAACCUAUUCUGGAACGUAUGACUGGACGUGGCCGAAGGUAAUGAAUUACAGCUUAACUAAGCAAUUGCUAAUUAUUAGCUUCGAUCUUGAUUCUCUUCAGCAACAGAUGCCUCAAAAUGUUGGAAGAAAACGGUUCAUCGAUUAAACAUUACGAUCGCAUGGUAAGAAAAUCUCAUUUCGAAAAGAGCUCAAUUACCUGAUACCUUGAGAUUAAACUGGACAAUUUUCGCUCUUCCAAUUACAUUAUGUGCAUACCUUUAAUUGUCAUAUCUGUCAAUUUAGGCGUUGUCGAAACGUUGUUUCAUGCGAUUAAGUCUUACAUCUUCCCGUCAAUCUGUUUGUAUCUUGAAACUUAAAGCAUAAGGUUGCAUAGCAAAAAAACAAAAAAAACAAAAAAAAGAAUAUAUAACAGACUGGAACUGGAAGCAAUUAGCUUCAUCAAGUCCUUUAACAUAUUGAUCUAAAACUCAACUUUAACGUAUUAGCCUACUAAAGAAGAUGAUGAACUAAAAUUUGGUACAUCUACAGUCAUUCAAAAAUUCCACAUAACUAUGUUCCUCAAUUUUUCGAUAUCCUUUUCCAUUGGUUGCAGGCAGAUAUAUAGAAGAUUUUGCCUAAAAAACGCCGAACAUUCAACUUUGGCUGACUUGUUAUUGGGUUAUGCACGAGUUAAGCCCGCUUCAAAAGCUUUAACUUUAAAUAUGUAGGCGCUCCUGCUGCUGCAUCUUGCUGCUGGUGUAGCAAGAAACCACAAUCAGUCAUACGGAUGGAUGGACAUUGCCUAAAGUAGUUCAACAGUUGACAUUGAUAAAUGCAUUGGCUAUUUAUGGACUUUGCAAUUUGAACAGCAUCAACUGAUGCUCGAUGAGGUGUAUAAAAAUUAAAAAAGAAACAAGCAAAAAUUUCUAUCAUUUUUACGCUCGACUUUAAAGUACACCAGUAUACAUAUACGUGCGGAUCAAAAAAUUUCAAAUCCAAGCAAACUGGGUGAUGCCGACGUCUCCCAAGCGGCGACGUUACAAAAACGAAAUGAUAAAAUUUGAUCUUUCACCAGCGGGUAGAAAAGUAACAAAAUUUACAUUCAUGUUCAUUUGUACCUGAACGCGAACAAAAUUUGUAAGAGUAAAAUAUUAAAUACAAAAUUUAUUUUUCGCUGAUUUAAUCAAAAAAUUCACUAGAAAUCCAAAAAGAAUCAAGAACAUUAUAUAUUCGGUCGUCACCGACUCUUUUUUAUACUCAUCACCGUGAUCCCAAAAAAAAAUAAAUAAAUAAUUAAAUAAAUUUUCACACUUGGUAAUAGUGGAUGGGCGCGAUUGAUUUUUUCUAUCUUUUGAGUAAAAGUAGAAAUAUGUAUGAUGUGUGUGUUGACUUUUCUGACUUACAACCAAAAAACACGUAAAACAAAGUAAAGAGUUCAAACUCCUCGUUACAUAGACUUGUGGAUGCUGUGGGCUUGUUCUUUGAAAAGUUCGGGCCUUUUCUACGCUUAUAAGCAAUAUCUUCAUUUUUGCGAACGAAAGAACGCUUACCACAAACUGCAGGCUGCACAUUUGCGCAGACGUACAAAUGGACAGAUGGAUAGACAAAUGGACGGACGUGUUUAGAUGCAUUCCGAAUUUGAAACUGGCCAAGAAUUUAUAUACUUUAUUGGGGUGUGUAAGACUCGUUUCACCGCCUUAUAAAGGUAUUGCAAAUAAAUGAUACAAUAACACACUAUAAAAUUAAAUAGGCGUGGCCAACUUUUUCCAUUUUUCUAGAGGUACUAAUUAAAGCAUGGGUUACCAACCAAAUUUACAUUUACAUUUUUGUAGACUUACGCAAUUUUUAAUUCUUUUUGAAAAACAUAAGUGUCUUCAGCUUAGGUGUUACUGCAAGCGUGUCGUUCGACUGAUUUAACCCAUUUCCAAUACCAACAUACGUGCAAGAACUUUCAAUCCUUUUGCCAUAUCUGAAUUUGAUGGAUUCAUUUUUGCGGCCAGGAUAACGUUUACACUAGCCAUUACAAAGACGGACAGACAGCCAGGCGGGCAUAAAUCAACUCUGAAUUUGAAGCUGAUUAAUAAUGUAAAUGCUAUGUGGAUCCUCCGAAACUUCCUUCUGGGCGUUACAAACGUUUUAACAAAAUUAACGUACCCUCUAU